rnacentral:rRNA from 1 species
GAGGAGCUUGCUCCUCUGACGUUAGCGGCGGACGGGUGAGUAACACGUGGGUAACCUACCUAUAAGACUGGAAUAACUCCGGGAAACCGGGGCUAAUGCCGGAUAAUAUGCAGAACCGCAUGGUUCUGCAAUGAAAGACGGUUUUGCUGUCACUUAUAGAUGGACCCGCGCCGUAUUAGCUAGUUGGUAAGGUAACGGCUUACCAAGGCAACGAUACGUAGCCGACCUGAGAGGGUGAUCGGCCACACUGGAACUGAGACACGGUCCAGACUCCUACGGGAGGCAGCAGUAGGGAAUCUUCCGCAAUGGGCGAAAGCCUGACGGAGCAACGCCGCGUGAGUGAUGAAGGUCUUCGGAUCGUAAAACUCUGUUAUUAGGGAAGAA